rnacentral:rRNA from 1 species
GGUAGGAGCGGUCAGGGGGCGGAGGUAGUAGGUAGGGGGCAAGGGGGUGCCGGAAGCAUUGGGCGUAAAGGGCGUGUAGGGGGCUUGGUAAGUCCGCUGUGAAAGUCCAGGGCUCAACCCUGGAAUGCCGGUGGAAACUGUCAAGCUCGAGUCCGGAAGAGGCGAGUGGAAUUCCUGGUGUAGCGGUGAAAUGCGCAGAUAUCAGGAGGAACACCAAUGGCGAAGGCAGCUCGCUGGGACGGUACUGACGCUGAGACGCGAAAGCGUGGGGAGCAAACAGGAUUAGAUACCCCAGUAGUC